rnacentral:rRNA from 1 species
UGGGGGAUAUUGCACAAUGGGCGAAAGCCUGAUGCAGCAACGCCGCGUGAGGGAAGAAGGUCUUCGGAUUGUAAACCUUUGUCCUAAGUGAAGAAACAAAUGACGGUAACUUAGGAGGAAGCCACGGCUAACUACGUGCCAGCAGCCGCGGUAAUACGUAGGUGGCAAGCGUUGUCCGGAUUUACUGGGUGUAAAGGGUGCGCAGGCGGGAUCGCAAGUUGGAUGUGAAAUACCGGGGCUUAACUCCGGAGCUGCAUCCAAAACUGUGGUUCUUGAGAGAUGUAGAGGUAAGCGGAAUUCCGAGUGUAGCGGUGAAAUGCGUAGAUAUUCGGAGGAACACCAGUGGCGAAGGCGGCUUACUGGGCAUUUUCUGACGCUGAGGCACGAAAGUGUGGGGAGCAAACAGGAUUAGAUACCCUGGUAGU